UGCUGUUCUUUGCUGUGAUUACACGAGGUUUGAUGCUUCAGUAGCUGCCUGCUUCAAGGAUUUAAAUGAAACAAAAUCUGAAAAAAGGAAUAAAUAUUUCCAGAUCUGGAUGUAGUAGGAUGACAGGAAAACUAAAAGAGAUGCCAGUGAGAGAACAAAAUACAGCUGAAGAAAAAGAAAAACAGAGAAAGGAAGCGGCACUGAGAGACGAAACCAAACCUGCGCAGAAGGAAAAAACAAUGAGGAGAGGAAAAGAAAAUGCCUGUGGAUUCAGAGAACAUCUAAAAGUGCACCGGAUGAACAGCCUUGACAAAUAUCGACCAGAGUUCUCUCUUCAUCCAUACUGAUGAUGUGAGAUUUUGAUGUGAGAAAUAUUCAAGGAUGAGAAAGAAGCUGUUUUCUCACCUAGAAUGUUCUUCACAUCACUUUCAGUCAAUGAUUCAAAAUGAGACUGGAAUACAAAACACCAAUAUUUUUGAGUUCAUAACUUGAUGACUAUAACUGUACUGUGUACAUAUUUAAACAUAUUUAGAUUUAAUAUUGUGUACGCAGGCUUAUAUAUUUGUCAUAUAUGAUAGUAAUACAAUCAGUCAGUGCUAAAGCAGUAACACUGAAAUCAAAUGUUUGAACCGUUUUGUACUAUUUAAACUGUAGCUCUACAUAGUUCUCGUUUCUAGUAUGAGCAGAAUUGAGAACAAUGACUGUAAAGCAAUAGCUGUUCCAGAAAUGCCAGGUCGUUCUUAUCCAUGGGAUCAUACAGCGAGCCUGGAGAUUUCAGAAUGAGACUGGAAUACACAACUUGAUGACUAUAACUGUACUGUGUACAUAUUUAAACAUAUUUAUAUUUAAUAUUGUGUACACAGUCUUAUAUAUGUGUCAUGUGAUAGUAAUAUGAUCAGACAAUGUUAAAG